AGGAUGGUAGUUAAUUAUAACAUUUGAUUUGCAUUCAAAAGGUAUUGAAAUCUCUCAAUCCAUCUU
rnacentral:tRNA from 2 species